UAAGGAACUCAAAAAAUGAGACUGCUACCAAAUAAAAGACUCAGUUAAUAAUUGCAUAGCUGAAAUGAACAGACACUGUUCAGAAGCAGAAACACAAACGGCCAAUAAACACAUGAAAAAAUGUUCAACAUCUCUGGCCAUUAGAGAAAUGCAAAUUAAACAACACUGAGAUUUCAUCAAGGACAAGUAAUAGCUCAAGAGGGACACGCACCCUGGGGCUUCUCCAGACCCCUCAAGACAGAAAAUAAAAGGACACAAUUCAGACUAAACUGCCAAAGGAUGAACAGUCCCAGAGAUGAGUGGCCUCCAGUGAAAAACAUUCUGCUAGAUGUUUUGAUACUUUUCCUUGUCAGCCAGCUCUGUACUUGACACCGUGAUAGCCUGGGCCACAGGAUGCAUAAGGGGCCACAGCCUGUCCUGUGGAGUGGGCUCAACGGCCAGAACCUAGCAUCCCUGAGAGCCAAGAGCACCCCUUUCCUUCCCUCCCCAUUGAAAGAUCUGCAAGAGUGGUUCAUAGUUUGACUCUGUCUCUGUCUUUGCAGUACUAGAGGUUGAACCCAGGACUCUAACACUGAGCUAUAUUCCCCCACCCUCUUUUUUCUGAGACAAGGUCUCAUUAAACUGCUAAAUUGUUCAGACAGAGCUCAAAUUUACAGUCCUCCUGCCUCAGGCACCCAGAGUGCUAAGAUUACAGUCUUGUGCCACCACUCCCAGUCUGCAAGCUCUUAAUUGUCAGGAAGCUGGGGGAUGAUGGGUUCUUGCAUCCAAAUGAGCAGGCAGGACCAGACAGAGGGGAAGGACAGCUUGUUAGCGAUGGAGAAGGAGAAGCACAGGUCCAUAGAUGUCAGAAUGGGACAAGCCAGAAGAGCAAGACCUCUGCCCUGAAUUUCCCUGCUGAGCGAGACUCUGUCUAUGACCAGAUUCUGAGAACACGGGGUCCUGGCUUAGCCCCCGUGCAAGACAGAGGGUCGUGUGGAAAUAAAAGUCAGUCGUCAGGAGUCCGGCAACACCUGGGUAGCUCCGGCUCUGCAGGAUCUGGGUAUGAGGGUUUUACCUCCCCUCGGGGUGUCACAGGGCCAACCCUUGGGGAACCACCGUGGGUGACUCACAGAGGAGAAAGCUCAUCCUCGGGGUACCCCGGCCCUGGGCCUUGUCUGUCUAGAGCGGAAGGGAACCAGGAGCCGCAGCAGACCGAGCCUCCCGCGCCCUGGGCGGGACAAUGGCGACACCCAGUGGUGGCCGCAGGAAGGCGGAGAAGGGCCUUCGGAGCCCGAGCUGCUCUCUUGCGUCGCCUCCGCCGGCCCAGCUCUUAGCCUGGCUUCCGCGAGGACGGCGCCCCUGGCCCUGGGUUGCUCUUGGCGCUGCCACCUAACGGACAUUUCAUGUCCACAGUGGGCUACCCGGUUCCUUCCCUGCUCCCCCCACCCCGAGAUCGAGUGGCUGCCUCUUUCGUGGUCCCGGAGAUGCAACGCGUCUUCCACUUUGGUCUCACCCUGGGAUACGUCUCCUGGUUACCCUGCCUCUCCCGAUAAAGAAAACGCAUUUGUAAGAUGUUAAAUAAGUUGUCAAAGGGUCAACAGUGAGUCACAGACUGUGGUGUGACAUUGGGCUGACAAGCACUGGGACCUGCUAACCAGGACUGUGCACUGCCAGGCGUUUGCCAGUUACUGACUCGUGAAACAUGAAAAAUGUGAUUGUGGAAGCAGUGUUUUCACUCCAGAAUGAAGAGAUGUCUGGAGGCCCUCAUGGAAGAUACAAUUGAGGGUGCAGGUGCUGUUUCCUUGGAAGAGAUGACAGAGAGUCACGUGCUCCACGUGGCCUUCAGCUGCCCAGAUUCUGUCAGGCUACAAGCUCCUUGUGGACACUAUUCCUGGCUUCCUUGGCAGUCCAUUACACACACAUCUGUGCCUGGCAUAAGCCGUGCUCAAACUCAACCUCCUGUUCAAUGUAGGAGUCAUCUCCUCUACCAGGUGACACAGGAGGCAGAAUUCUAAGAUGGCCUGAGGACUUCCUGCAGCCAGGGACAUAUGCCCAGAACAAUCCCAGGACUGUGAAAGGAUCUUGCCCAGUGCUAAGCUAUGCAGUAUGACAGAUUGACUGAAAAUAGGAAGAUGACUUGGGUGAGCCUGACCUGACUCCAAGAACCCUCCAAAAGCAACUACAAAGAACUUUAAAGUGAGACAUCUGACAAAGAAGUGCCCAGUGGCCAAGCUGGAGGGAGCCACAUGGUAAGGACCUCGGAGUGGCCUCUAGAAGCUAAAAGGAGCCAGACCCUACUGACUAAGGAGCUAAGUGCCUCCAGCAAGACAACUGGACGCAGUUUCACAACUAACAGGAAAUGAAAUCUGCUGACAAUUCAAAUGGAUCUCUACCUGGUCAAGCCAUCAGACAUACCUACAGCUGGCUGGACUCCUGACCAUGGGAACGGUGAGCGAGUGAGUGGAGUUAUUUUAAUUUGCUCUGCCUAUGAAAAGUAUUCUAUUAGCAAUGGGAAAUGGGCAAUGCAAACUGUGUGAAAUUAGGGAUGUGUCAGAAGUCACUUACAACAGAUUCUGGCUAUUAACAUAUUUCAGCAAACACUGGGACUGAUUUUUAUUUAUAUUUUCCAUUUAAUGUAUGGACAUUAUUUGAGACACACAAAGUUACAUGGAAAUAAGACUAAACAAACUGUUUCAAUAAAUGUAAAAUAAAAAUUAUAAAUGAAAAGACAGCAUUGUUAUAGUCCACCAGACCAUAUAUUCUCUUCUCAGUAGUAUGUGGUGCAUAUUAUUAUGAAUGGUAUCUUGUAUCUGAUAAUCUGAUGUAUCUGAUUUCAUUAGUGUUAGCAGAAAGUGAACUUUAUAUGUGUAUAAAUGUAUUGAUACUAAAUCCAUUGAGAAAAAGACUAGAUAGAAGCAUAUAAGCCACCUAUGAAGAAUUACCUUUGGUCUGACAGAUGAACAGUAAAGAGGACUUUGCCACUGUACUUUGUGUCUCUGAGUCUUUACAACAAUGCACACUACUCUAUGAAUUUAAAAUAUAUAUAACAUAUAUUAGUAUACAUUAUCAUAUAGUAUCACCAUAUGUUAAGUAGUACAUAAAUUAUAAAGCUAUGGGAAUAUAACCCUAUUUGGUGGACAGAUCAAUGGAACUGACUAGAAAGCUCAGAAAUAGCUCAAAUACAAGUAGGAAUUUAAAAAUUUUAUACUAUUUGUAGUGCUGGGGAUAGAAUCUAGGUCUUUGAACUUGCUAAGCAAGCUCUGCUACUGAGCUAUAUCGCCAGUUGUUUUGAAACAGGUCUCACUAAGUUGCCCAGGCUGGGCUCAAACAAAAUAGCCAACACCCACAAUUUAAUGGAGGACAAAGUUACCUUGGCUCACGGUUUCAAUCCUGGUUGCCUGGCUUUAAGGCAGAAACAGGAUGGCAGAGGAGUGUGGUGAAGGGAAAGGUAUUCAAGCCAUAGCAGGCAGAAAGGAAAGAGAGGGAGGAGCAGGGAACAGGAAUGUACCCUUCCAGGUCAGGUCCUCAGUGACCCACCUCAAACUAGACCCUACCUCCUAAGAGUACAUUCAACUACAGAACUCGUCACUGGGGUUUCAUGCCCCUACAGUUCAAUCACUUUCCACGUGCAUGAGAAUUUGGGGGACACUUUAUUAUAUAUAUUUGUUUGUUUGUUUGUUUUGUUUUGGUACCAGGGAUCGAACCCACAACCGUGUGCUUGCAAAGCAGGCACUUAUGCCACUGAGCUAAAUCUCCAGCUUUAAUAUAUUUUUUAAACUUUUUUUGUUUUUUAUGUUUUGUUUUAUCUUUUUGAGACAAGGUCUGUCCUCAGGCUGGCCUUAGGCUCACUUUAUAGCCCAGGCUGGUCUUGAACUUGCAACAAUCUGCCUGCCUCAGCUUCCCAAGUGCUAAGAUUAUAGGAGUGUACCACCAAGCCCAGCUUUUUAAAACUUUUUAUUAGUAUAUAUUUGUCACACAUAUGGAUCACAUUCAUUAUAGGGAAUUUGCACCUGUAUAUAUCCUAAUCUUUUUUUCUACUCCCCUUCCCUACCAUCAAUCCUUCUCCUUUCCAUUUAUACAAACUUUGUUUCCAUUUUUCUCUUUCAAGUCUCUCUGCAUUUUCCUUCCCUUCCCUUCCUUCUCUCUGCUUUUUGUUCCCCUACCCAUUUGAACAUGCUGUUCCUACUUCAGCUUGAGGGAUAUUUUAGAUCUAAAUCAUAACAACCACCAUUUGGUGCAACUUUCCGCCAUUAAAUUGCUUUUGUCUUUGUCAAAAGUCUGCUGGGUAUUUAUGUGAGUUCUCCAUUCUGUUUCACUGACCUAUAUCUAUUUCUGACAGUAGCAAGUCUUCAUUAUGGUAGUUAUGUAAUAUCUUAAAACCAAGUAAACUGAUUACCCCAACUUUACUGUUUUUCAAAAUUGUCUUAGCUAUUCUGGUUUAUCUUUACACAUAAGUUUUAGUAUAACCUUGUCUGUAUUCAAAAUUUUUCUGCAGAGACUUUGUUAUGAAUUGCAUUAGGCCUAUCAAUUUUCAUAAAAUUUAGGGAAAACUGACAUCAUUACUGCAUUGUGUUCCAAUUCAUGAACAUGGUAUGUUUCUCCAUUAAAUCUAGAUCUUCAGUUCACCCACACUGUAGUUUUCAGCGUGUAACUC